AGAUUGAACGCUGGCGGCAUGCCUUACACAUGCAAGUCGAACGGUAGAGUAGCAAUACUCGAGAGUGGCGAACGGGUGAGUAAUAUAUCGGAACGUGCCCAGUCGUGGGGGAUAACAUAGAGAAAUUUACGCUAAUACCGCAUACGAUCUACGGAUGAAAGCGGGGGAUCGCAAGACCUCGCGCGAUUGGAGCGGCUGAUAUCAGAUUAGGUUGUUGGUGAGGUAAAAGCUCACCAAGCCGACGAUCUGUAGCUGGUUUGAGAGAACGACCAGCCACACUGGGACUGAGACACGGCCCAGACUCCUACGGGAGCAGCAGUGGGGGAAUUUCGGACAAGUGGCGAAAGCCUAGAUCCAGCAAUGCCGCGUG
rnacentral:rRNA from 1 species